rnacentral:rRNA from 1 species
UACGUAGGGUGCGAGCGUUUAAUCGGAAUUACUGGGCGUAAAGCGUGCGCAGGCGGUUUUGUAAGCCAGGUGUGAAAUCCCCGGGCUCAACCUGGGAAUGGCAUUUGGGACUGCAAGGCUGGAGUGCGGCAGAGGAGACUGGAAUUCCUGGUGUAGCAGUGAAAUGCGUAGAUAUCUGGAGGAACACCGGUGGCGAAGGCGGCGAUCCUGGACCGGCAUUGACGCUGAGGAGCGAAAGUCAGGGGAGCAAAACAGG